rnacentral:lncRNA from 1 species
UGCUGUAUUCGUUUGCUGUUUUCGUUGGGUUUUUGGUUGGAUUGAUUUGUUGCUGUCUUCGUUUGCUGUCUGGUGUUGUUCGUCUUUCGUUCUUUUGCUUGCUGCCAUUGUUGUUCGUUCGGAAUUGUUCAACCUAGGGUUUUGCAUUUUUUUGUUUUUUGAAUUGUUUGUGUGUUGCUGUGUUUACAAUGACUGGAAAGGAUGAUUCUCUCCAGUCCAUUAGUACUCAAUUAGAUGGUAAGAAC